rnacentral:sRNA from 1 species
UUAAAAUUUUUGUUUUCUGCAUGUUCGCUUAGGACUGUUAGAAACCUCAAAACCGUUAUUGCUUGGCUUGACUUAGUGACUUCUGAUCACAUCUCAUCUGUUUGCAUCACACCUGAUUGGAUUGACACCUAAAAUACUACAACGACAAAUU